GAAGAUAUAGUAUAUUUAGUAUAGCUUAUUGUCUGUGAGUUGGUUAGUUUCUUUG
rnacentral:tRNA from 1 species